rnacentral:rRNA from 1 species
GACGAACGCUGGCGGCGUGCUUAACACAUGCAAGUCGAACGGAAAGGCCCUGCUUUUGUGGGGUGCUCGAGUGGCGAACGGGUGAGUAACACGUGAGUAACCUGCCCUUGACUUUGGGAUAACUUCAGGAAACUGGGGCUAAUACCGGAUAGGAGCUCCUGCUGCAUGGUGGGGGUUGGAAAGUUUCGGCGGUUGGGGAUGGACUCGCGGCUUAUCAGCUUGUUGGUGGGGUAGUGGCUUACCAAGGCUUUGACGGGUAGCCGGCCUGAGAGGGUGACCGGCCACAUUGGGACUGAGAUACGGCCCAGACUCCUACGGGAGGCAGCAGUGGGGAAUAGUGCACAAUGGGCGGAAGCCUGAUGCAGCAACGCCGCGUGCGGGAUGACGGCCUGCGGGUUGUAAACCGCUUUCGCCUGUGACGAAGCGUGAGUGACGGUAAUGGGUAAAGAAGCACCGGCUAACUACGUG